UAAACAGACAGGGACAGACAGGAGUGGCGUUAACUCACUGAGGCUUUGAGGAUAAGAUGGCGACUUAUUAAAUAAUCGAACAUUUAAAAAUACCAUUUUUAGAAGUGAAAUGAAUUCUCUUCUCAUUCAUUAUUUUGUGAUUUUUUUUUUUAACCUAAUGAUCAGAUUCUGGUUUAGUCUCGGGCCAUUUCCUGUGCUUGAAACAGUAUAAUGUUCGAGGUAAAUCAUUAUAGGGAAAAGUAGACUUCUGACUUUUUUGAAUCCAAGCAGCCUGCAGGUACAAAUUACAAAUCUAGUGAUACUAGUAAAUAUUUGGAAUUCCUUCUGGAGUUUUAAAAAUAAUUAUGAAUCAAUGUAGUAUAGGAACUUUUAGCAUGUCUAUUUAAACCUGUUUCCAUCACUGCAAAAUUUUCGUUCUACAAUUUGAAUUACUAAACGUGUCGGCCAUACGCACGUGUCCUGUUCAAUCAGGUAAUGCAUCAAUGCGGCGGAGAGGAACGCUCAGUCCAAGCCUGCUUCCAGGUGGAGGAUCGGCUUUGGGAAAACUUGGCUUGACUGAGGAGGACAUCAUAGAGGAGAUUGAAAAUGGUGAGUCUUCUGAGGGCCGGAACUGGUCAAGUGAGAAGAGUUUAUGGAAUAAAAUAGUGCGGAGGAUGAAGAACGUUGGUUUUUAAAGUGAGAAGCUGUUUCUAAUUAUCUACAAGUGGUGAACAGGAUGCUUUGUCUUCAAGGCCCUCUUCCUUUGUCCUCACUGGUACUCAUGAGAUAACAGAUUCACACAUGGAGCGUUUAAUAUAGUCCUAUAUGGAUGGUGUCAUUUCAACAGAAGAAGAGAAUCUAGUGAAAGAACUAGUGGCCAUGUCAACUAGGGAACGAAUUCAAGCCAUCCGAAGCCUUCCGGUGUGCUUUGAAGACAAGAAAAACAUCAGGAAUCAUGUGCUGGCAACCAAGUCAUCCAAGAGGCGCUGUAAACUCACCUGCUGUGCAGACUGCACUGAGAAGGUCUCUUUGGUAAGGCUGAAAGCUCUUCCUUUCAAAUGAAGCCUAUACAGUUAUUCAUUCACUUAUAUUAUAUUGAUAACUUUGGUUGUCACCCCAGCCCCAUGCGACCAUCCAGAUACACAAACACACACACACACACAGUCUGAAGCUGCUGGUCCUAAGCUGGGUCGCGGUGAACCAGAGCCUAACCCAGCAACACAGGGCACCAGGCUGGAGGGGGAGGGCAAACACCCAGGACGGGACGCCAGUCCAUUGCAAGGCACCCCAGGCAGGACUUGAACCCCAGACCCACCAGAGAGUGGGACCCAACCAAACCCACUGCGCCACCACACCCC
rnacentral:lncRNA from 1 species